AAUAAUGUUCUAAUUGUUUUUGUCUCAACUUUUACACAAAGCAAAUUUACCGUUCUAUCAAAAAAAACUUUGGAAAUUGGCCAGGUUCAGCUUUUCUAAUCCAAAACCGUAAUAUCUGUUCAUUCAAUAUUGUAUUGAAGGAUAUGUCCAGCUAGAAAAAAAUAGUACACGAUUUUUAUAGUUCUUUAUAAAUAUCCUCUUUUAGAAAUGUGUUUGUUUUUCAUCCACCAUUUUAUUUUUAGAUUUCUAUAAAACUAUUGCAUGGAUGGAUGCAUUUUCUGUAAUGGAAUGUUGGUAUCUUUGGAAAGUGAAAACCCAGAUAGUUUUCAACCUAAUAACCUAACCCUAAGAAAAAUAGAGCUAAAAAAUAUUAGUGGGUACUUUAAGUAUAAAAAGAAAAACUUAAAAACUCUAAUAACUAUAUUUUUUAAAAACUUUUUAUUUAAUCAUUUCAGCCAAAGUUAUUAGGAGUUGUUGUGGAAAGUCCAAUAAACCUAGAACCUGGACUAGAGCUUUGUACUAUGUCAGUUUCAAAGAGACUCGCUCAUUAAAAGCCACUUCAGAAAUUGUUAGCAAGGAGGGCUGUCUGACCUGUAGAGGAAAAACCUUCAACAAUUAAGGAGAUGUUACUGUGAAAGCUCUGUCUCCUCUGGUUUUAUACACAUCUUUAUGAUUUUUCUGGUUUAUUCACCCAAAAUUUCUUUAAAAUACCAAGUAAUAGCCAGGAAGGUUUGGUUUGACACUUGAUUUUACCAUGACACUGGCAAGAAUCAGAAAUUAUGUCUGCAUGUUUUAGUAAUAGCAUCAUGCUGGGUAAUUCAAGAAUUACUCAGCAGAAAUCUGAAUAUGAAGUGUAUUAAAGUCAAAUCGAAAAGGUUUCUUUUCAUGAAUUAUUUAACCUAAAUAAUUUAUACCACACAUACUGUAUGUUUAUUCCUUCUUCAAAUGGGUGAAAUGAAUGGAGGGGAAAGGAAGGACAAUUAUUAUACACACUUGGUAAAAGAAUCUACACAGCAAGUUCGGCACAGAUGGACGGUCAGAAAAUGAGUGGUCCGAAACGCCAAUGGAAAUGUGCAAUUAGCCUCUUUUCUGGGGACAUUUUAUGUCGGAACGGUUUAAAUGCUGCAGAAACUCAAGAAGGAUUUUCCUUGGGAGGACCUAAAUUAUUUUCAACAAGGAAAAUCUUAAUUUAUUUCAUCAGUCAUAUCACCAUUGAUUGGAUGUGAAUCCUUUUCUAAAGCUGUUCGUUCAGCUCAUUCACAUCCACUGCACUUUAGUUUCUCUCCACAACUUUUAUACCACUUGAACAGCAGGCAUAGGUUUGGUAUUUUUAAAAUGAACAUCACUGGUGACUCAUGCUCUGGCAUGCUGUGGGUUGCAGCUUGGACCUGCAACGCUGUGGAUGACUCAAAAUGUCCUGCAAAUAUCUUCUGUUUACUUUUAUGUUUCUCCUAAGAGUUUGCAGCUAAUUGGUUUGGAGAUGUAUUAGUCUCCACUUGCCUGCCUUAUUGAUUUUUGUCCUACGGAGACUUUUUCAUUAUGCAACUAUUCAAACACUUAAGCAUUUUAAUUUCGUUUGCUCAUUGUUUGCACCUAUUAGGAAAUUCUGCUAGAAGCUAAAUCACAUUAAAUUACACUCAGAGAGAGCUUUUGGGAAGUAGGAAUCAAAGUGCUAUUUUUCAUCGGUUUACUGUUUCAAUGGGUUUUUGUUUUUUUUUAAAGUUAUAAUCAAAUUUCUGUUUUAAGCAAACUUCCCAGGAAUUCCAGUAAAGUGACAUUUCAUUAGUGUAUAAAAACCAGAUGAACCAUACCGAUUUAAAGAUGAAAACACAAACAGUUCUUUGGAUGUCUUACCACUUGAUCUAAUCACAGUAUCUUGAGUUUGGCUUUUAUCCCUCAUUUUCAGGCUAGUUUGUGGAAUAUUUCUAAACGUUGUUUAAUUCUACUCCAUUAAUUAUAAAUCCAUGAAAAGACUAUUGAAUUAAAGGAAUUGCCAGCACUGUCUACACCAGUGGUCAGCAACAUUUACAUCUUUACACAUUUGUCAGUUGCAGCAGCAAAGCACUGUUUUACUCCAGCAAGCCUGUGUGUUAGACCAGUCUGCAAACACUUCCUUGGAACAGCUUGACAAGCACAGUUAGGACCCACAAAUCCUUUGUUGAGUUGAGAAUGUGUCGGAACAUGUUUUAGCUCAGGGGAUUAGUUGCUAACUUCACAAAUUCAGACUUCAGUCUACACACCCACAGGUUCUUCCUUCCCUGGGAAUACCAAGUAAUUUCCGUUGAAAGAAAGGGCCUGCACCGGUUGUUUCACAGGUGAUAUUGACUGGUGUUAAAAGAAAAACAGAUCGCAAGAGAAAAAAGGGGAUUUAAAAAUCAACCUAUAUCAUGUCUGUUAGAAAUAAUUCAGUGUGAAAGAAGGGCAGUUAAGGACAAACAAGAUGAAACAUAUUAAAAUCAUUUGUCUAAAUUUGUGAAUAUUUUCCUUUAAUUAACUGUUUUUAUUAUAUUCAUGUAAAAGUUUGAGUAAAACUUACAAAAAUGAGACGUUUGUACUAAAAAGAAUGUGUUCUAAUUAAUUAACUAAUUGACUUAAUUAGGGCUGAGCUGGCAGAGUAGAAACCUAAUUUCUGCAGCCCCAUGUGGAGCUGAUGAUGAGAUUUUCUUUUGCUUUUUUGCUUCUAUUUGCAUAUUUUGUAGACUGUUUGACUUCUCACAGUGGGGAAAAUGCCUAAGUACUUAAUAACAAUCCAGCUUGGUGACUUCUAUCCAGAACAAUGCUUUUGCUUGGCCUGACUCUAUCUUGUCAAUACUUAAUCAAACUAGGUCAAUUAUAUCUAAAUUAGUUUUACUUCCUGCCAUGACAAAUGUGAUUACUGCAAAAUCUACCAAAACAAUGAGACAGUAGCAAGAAAGCUGUAGAAAGUCAUUUUUCAGGGUUUGCCAAAAAUGAAGUAGGAGACUCAGCAAACAUGUGGAAGAGUUCUGCUCAGAUAAAAAAAAAAAAAAAAGAACUUCCUGGCUAACUUGCACCUGAACGGAUCAUCC